CUUUCUCUAAAGCACCCCCGAUGAUUUCCUUCCCUUGGAGUUCCUCAGCUUUCUGACCAGCCCCAGGACUGAUGCAAGAGCUGAACCUUUCUGUUUCCUGUUUCUACACAUCCUGUGGGGUGCGAAGGGCAUCAAAACUGCUCUCUGUGCAGCAGCAGAAAUGGAAGAUUGAGCUCAGCAUGGUUGGGGAAGUGAGAGGAGGUGCAGCGAGGAGCAGCAAGUAGCUCUGUGUAAAUCUGUCUCAGAUUUAGAAAUAAGUCAGCAAAAUCCCCUCGCUGUAUCCCACGUUGCUCCUGAACACCCCGGGGGUUUUGUUGAGCCGUGCCUCGUGGCCAGGAGGGCACCGAGCGGGCAGGGCACGGGGAAUAUUUGAAUGUUUGUGUGGUUUGGAGGAGAGCGAGGCAGAAAAGGCCGAUGCAGAAGAUGGGAGGAAGGCGUUGGAGCUCGCUGGAAGGGAAGCAGCGCAGAAUUGGUGCCGAGGUCUGCAGCUGGAGGCCGUGCAAGCGAAACCACCGCUGAACCAAACCCGCUGGAUGCCGCCAGCGAGGAACGCCGCCCGAAAACCCUGCCCAGGACUCCCCUGAUCUCUCCUCCAGACCCUGGGAAAAGGCUGCGAGCCCAGCAGGUUGCUCUCUCUCUGGCUACCAGCCGCUGCCUUCGCUGUGGGAACGCACCGAGCUGCUCGGCAGCCCGUGCCUGGGGCUCAAAGAUAAUUCUGAAACGCCUCCAGCCUUGGAAUCACGCGGUGAGGGAUGUCCCAAACAGCAGGGGCACAAAGCAGGGGCUGUGCCCAGCACAGGGACCUCUCGGUGAUGCAAGGAAAUCGUUCAGAGUGGAUGAAGUGGACGCCGGGCUCCCAAAAUCUGGCAGGGCUGAAGGUGCUGAAUGCGAUUCUCCGGCUCUGCACCCAGCCAGCAGCUGGCAGCCCGCACGGCUUCCCUUUGCUAGCUCAGAAAAUCAUGUUUUUAGAGCAAAGGGCUGGAAACUGAAGUCAUGUUUUCAAACCGAGUGGCUGGAAACCAGAAGCAGCUGCCGAGAAACGGUGCCAAUGGCCAAAACUCACCCGAAAUGGCUUUCUCUGCUGAGCUCCUCGGCGUGCUGCGAUCUGUAAAGCUGCAGCUGGUUGUGAUUAAAAAGCCAUCGGGAGUUUACAGGGAAGCUCGCAGGAGCAAAUCGUUUCUGCGUGUCCUUGCUGCUCGCACCGCCGUGCCAAAACUGCUGUUUGCUGCGUCUGAAAGGCAAAAAUAAAAAUAAUAAAAAAUAGCA
rnacentral:lncRNA from 1 species